UACGAAGGGGGCUAGCGUUGCUCGGAAUUACUGGGCGUAAAGGGCGCGUAGGCGGACAUUUAAGUUAGAGGUGAAAGCCCAGGGCUCAACCCUGGAAUCGCCUUUAAUACUGGAUGUCUUGAGUUCGGGAGAGGUGAGUGGAAUGCCGAGUGUAGAGGUGAAAUUCGUAGAUAUUCGGCGGAACACCAGUGGCGAAGGCGACUCACUGGCCCGAUACUGACGCUGAGGCGCGAAAGCGUGGGGAGCAAACAGG
rnacentral:rRNA from 1 species